CCUACGGGAGGCUGCAGUAGGGAAUAUUGGACAAUGGGGGGAACCCUGAUCCAGCCAUGCCGCGUGUGUGAAGAAGGCCCUCGGGUUGUAAAGCACUUUCAGUGAGGAAGAACGCCUGGUGGUUAAUACCCAUCAGGAAAGACAUCACUCACAGAAGAAGCACCGGCUAACUCCGUGCCAGCAGCCGCGGUAAUACGGAGGGUGCGAGCGUUAAUCGGAAUUACUGGGCGUAAAGCGCGCGUAGGUGGCUUGAUAAGCCGGUUGUGAAAGCCCCGGGCUCAACCUGGGAACGGCAUCCGGAACUGUCAAGCUAGAGUGCAGGAGAGGAAGGUAGAAUUCCCGGUGUAGCGGUGAAAUGCGUAGAGAUCGGGAGGAAUACCAGUGGCGAAGGCGGCCUUCUGGACUGACACUGACACUGAGGUGCGAAAGCGUGGGUAGCAAACAGGAUUAGAUACCCCGGUAGUC
rnacentral:rRNA from 1 species